rnacentral:lncRNA from 1 species
CCUUGCUGUAGGUCUUCUGUUACUUCAGAGGGAAAUACAGAAACAUACAGGAGCUCAGGAGCAAACAGAGCAUCGGGAACAUCAGGCAACGUAAGAGAGGCUCUGAUGCGAUUCAGGCAGCAUGGUGGAAUCUACUGCAUGGGGGAAGGAAGGCAGGUGAACUGCGAUCCUCUAUAAGGACUUGAUUCUGCGAGGUACAGAGAAUGCUAGUCCCAAUCCAGCAUAGUUCUUAAGAAGAUACAGAUGGCCUCACUGGGUCAGACCAAUGGUCCAUCUGGCCCAAUAUCCUGUCUCCUGACUGCGGCCAGUGGCAG